AGAGUUUGAUCAUGGCUCAGGACGAACGCUGGCGGCGUGCCUAAUACAUGCAAGUAGAGCGCUGAAGGAGGAGCUUGCUUCUCUGGAUGAGUUGCGAACGGGUGAGUAACGCGUAGGUAACCUGCCUGGUAGCGGGGGAUAACUAUUGGAAACGAUAGCUAAUACCGCAUAAGAGUAGAUGUUGCAUGACAUUUACUUAAAAGGUGCAAUUGCAUCACUACCAGAUGGACCUGCGUUGUAUUAGCUAGUUGGUGGGGUAACGGCUCACCAAGGCGACGAUACAUAGCCGACCUGAGAGGGUGAUCGGCCACACUGGGACUGAGACACGGCCCAGACUCCUACGGGAGGCAGCAGUAGGGAAUCUUCGGCAAUGGACGGAAGUCUGACCGAGCAACGCCGCGUGAGUGAAGAAGGUUUUCGGAUCGUAAAGCUCUGUUGUAAGAGAAGAACGAGUGUGAGAGUGGAAAGUUCACACUGUGACGGUAUCUUACCAGAAAGGGACGGCUAACUACGUGCCAGCAGCCGCGGUAAUACGUAGGUCCCGAGCGUUGUCCGGAUUUAUUGGGCGU
rnacentral:rRNA from 1 species